GGGUAUUUGGUGAUUUGUUUUUAUUUUGAAUUUACAAGCAAAGUAUAAGGGAGUUAUACUCCAGUCUCGUAGGUGGCGGUAAUGGAACAUUUAUUGGAUGCCAACUGCCGUUAAACCUCGUCGAAGAAGAACAAGAAGUUUAGUAUUUUCCGGUGUCGUGUCAGCGUGCUGAAUUUAUCUCGUGGUUUCAAUGGAACUGUGAAAACGUUUGUAUUUAUCUCUUUUGAACAACGAUGUGAGUCUAGAUAACCAGACGAGACUUCCAAACGGGAAUUUGUAUAUUAUAUUUGAGAAAAUAGUUGAACAGUAAUGCACAAAGAAUACACUAUCUAAUUAAUACAUAAAUGUUGACACCUGAGACUGAAGACCUGCCAAAUGCAGUGUAAUAUAGCUAACAUGUUAAUUUCUUUGGAAGUAAAUGGCAGAAACUGUUAAGGAAAAGAGCCGUGGACUGAAGUUUGCAGAGCAACAACUACUGUUUCAGUAUGAUAUGUUGGAUAAAGGAAUAAAGACAGACACCAAUGUCAAGUUCAACAGACUUGUUUGUGCAUUGUACAAAUCCCUACACAUGGAGUCCGGGGAACAGUCCGGCUAGUCGAAUACCUAUCAACUAGACUCGGUAACAACUACUGCGUCGUGGCUGGGAACAAGAUAACGUUAAUGUUAGAUUUUCAGAAAUGUAUUUAGUAACAGUAUAGUCAAUUAAUGAUAGACAAUCUGUUAGCUAAUGAACAUCGAUUACGUGCAGGAGUUUCUCAAAUCAAAGUUUAUUUGUCACGUGCGCCGAAUACAACCUUACAGUGAAAUGCUUACUUACAGUGCAAUUUCUAAGUUAAAAAAGGUAUUAGGUGAACAAUAGGUAAGUAAAGAAAUAAAAACAACAGUGAAAAUAACAGUAGCAAUGAUAAUAUAUCAAGUGUAACGUUAUACAUAUGUCAGCUUGUAAAUUACAUUAGUAGGCAGGGCGAUUUUGGUGAUUUUAUGGUAUAUCAUCAAAAUAAAUCCAUCACAACACGUUUUUGGACUCAUUCAGCAGUUUUUUUUAACCAGAUUUAAGUACAAUACCAUUGGAAUGUAAUGUUGAAAGUUAAAUUUAUAUUCCUAAAACUUGUGUUAAAUGAUGCUGGCACUGCUUCCUUUCCACAAGCCAUUUGGAUAAAU
ensembl:lncRNA